rnacentral:rRNA from 1 species
GACGGAGGGUGCAAGCGUUGCUCGGAAUCACUGGGCGUAAAGGGUGCGUAGGCGGUCUCGCAAGUCUGGCGUGAAAGCCCAAGGCUCAGCCUUGGAAGUGCGCUCGAAACGGCGAGGCUGGAGUGCCGGAGGGGAGAGUGGAAUUCCCGGUGUAGCGGUGAAAUGCGUAGAGAUCGGGAGGAAUACCGGUGGCGAAGGCGGCAUCCUGGACCAACACUGACGCUGAGGAGCGAAAGCCAGGGGAGCAAACGGG